rnacentral:rRNA from 1 species
UACGUAGGGGGCAAGCGUUGUCCGGAUUUAUUGGGCGUAAAGAGCGUGUAGGCGGUUAGGUAGGUCCGUUGUGAAAACUCGAGGCUCAACCUCGAGACGCCGAUGGAAACCAUCUAACUAGAGUCCGGAAGAGGAGAGUGGAAUUCCUGGUGUAGCGGUGAAAUGCGCAGAUACCAGGAAGAACACCCGUGGCUAAGGCGGCUCUCUAGUACGGUACUGACGCUGAGACGCGAAAGCGUGGGGAGCGAACAGG